GCCAGGCACAGUGGUGCAUGCCUGUAAACCCAGUAGCUCAGGAGGCUGAGACAGGUGGAUCGCGAGUUCAAAGCCAGUCUCAGCAACGGCGAGGCGCUAAGCAACUCAGUGAGACCCUGUCUCUA
rnacentral:sRNA from 1 species